AGUGGCGGACGGGUGAGUAACACGUGGGUAACCUGCCCUUAAGUGGGGGAUAACAUUUGGAAACAGAUGCUAAUACCGCAUAGAUCCAAGAACCGCAUGGUUCUUGGCUGAAAGAUGGCGUAAGCUAUCGCUUUUGGAUGGACGCGCGGCGUAUUAGCUAGUUGGUGAGGUAAUGGCUCACCAAGGCGAUGAUACGUAGCCGAACUGAGAGGUUGAUCGGCCACAUUGGGACUGAGACACGGCCCAAACUCCUACGGGAGGCAGCAGUAGGGAAUCUUCCACAAUGGACGCAAGUCUGAUGGAGCAACGCCGCGUGAGUGAAGAAGGCUUUCGGGUCGUAAAACUCUGUUGUUGGAGAAGAAUGGUCGGCAGAGUAACUGUUGUCGGCGUGACGGUAUCCAACCAGAAAGCCACGGCUAACUACGUGCCAGCAGCCGCGGUAAUACGUAGGUGGCAAGCGUUAUCCGGAUUUAUUGGGCGUAAAGCGAGCGCAGGCG
rnacentral:rRNA from 2 species